rnacentral:rRNA from 1 species
UACGGAGGGAGCUAGCGUUGUUCGGAAUUACUGGGCGUAAAGCGCGCGUAGGCGGCUUUGUAAGUUAGAGGUGAAAGCCCGGGGCUCAACCCCGGAAUUGCCUUUAAGACUGCAUCGCUUGAAUCCGGGAGAGGUGAGUGGAAUUCCGAGUGUAGAGGUGAAAUGCGUAGAUAUCUGGAGGAACACCGGUGGUGUAAACGGCUUUCUGGACCAUUACUGACGCUGAUGCACGAAAGCGUGGGUAGCAAACAGG